AGGCGAAAAGAACCCCGGGAGGGGAGUGAAAUAGAUCCUGAAACCGCAUGCAUACAAACAGUGGGAGCCCCUGCUUCAAGCACCUUUGGGUUCUUUGUUGCCCGCGCGAAGCGCGACGCAACAAAAGGCUUAGAGGGGAGUGAAGUGUUGACUGUCGACUUGAAUACGCAGUAUUCAAGGCGACGGGCAGCCCUGCGAGAACACCCGGAGGGUGUUUGAAGCAGGGGUGACUGCGUACCUUUUGUAUAAUGGGUCAGCGACUUACGUUCAGUUGCGAGCUUAACCGAAUAGGGGAGGCGCAGCGAAAGCGAGUCUGAACAGGGCGUUUGAGUAGCUGGGCGUAGACCCGAAACCGGAUGAUCUAUCCAUGGCCAGGUUGAAGGUGGGGUAACACCCACUGGAGGACCGAACCCACUACUGUUGCAAAAGUAGGGGAUGAGCUGUGGAUAGGGGUGAAAGGCUAAACAAAUCCGGAGAUAGCUGGUUCUCCUCGAAAACUAUUUAGGUAGUGCGUCGCACGGACACCCACGGGGGUAGAGCACUGUAAUCGUUGGGGGGGUCGUCUAGAUCUACCCCGCGAUCGCAAACUCCGAAUACCGUGGAGUGCUAUGCGGCAGACAGACAUCGGGUGCUAACGUCCGGUGUCGAGAGGGAAACAACCCAGACCCACAGCUAAGGUCCCCAAUGACGUGCUAAGUGGUAAACGAAGUGGGAAGGCAUAGACAGCCAGGAAGUUGGCUUAGAAGCAGCCAUCCUUUAAAGAAAGCGUAAUAGCUCACUGGUCGAGUCGUCCUGCGCGGAAGAUGUAACGGGGCUAAGCACGUAACCGAAGCUUGGGGUUCAGGAUUCAGGUUCCAGGGUACAGGUGACAGAAUGACGUUACGGUUUGAUGGUUGGAAGUGUUCAAGCGCGGCUACAAGGUUUCUCUUGAGAUCCAUAAAGCCAGUUUGGCAUGUCCGGCGAUUGAGCAGUAUGCGUUGGCUGACCAAGUCCGGCGCGCAAGUAAAGGCGUUUGUGCCAAUCUUGCGGAAGGCUUUGGCAAGCAGAGUCAUUCCAAGGUCGAAUUCAAGCGUUUCGUCCACAUGGCCAUAGGCAGCGCGGACGAGAUGCGGGUUUGGCUGAGGUGCUGUAAAGAUUUGGGCUACAUCGAUGAGAUGACAUGGCAGCAGUGGCGAGAUGAGUAUGAGACGAUCGCCAAGAUGCUGACGGGGUGAUCGAAGUCACUGUAACCCGUAUCCUGCAACCUGAAUCCUGAACGGUAGAGGAGCGUUCCGUAGGCCUGCGAAGGUGUGCUGUGAGGCAUGCUGGAGGUAUCGGAAGUGCGAAUGCUGACAUGAGUAGCGAUAAAACGGGUGAAAAGCCCGUUCGCCGGAAGCCCAAGGUUUCCUGCGCAACGUUCAUCGGCGCAGGGUGAGUCGGCCCCUAAGGCGAGGCUGAGAAGCGUAGCUGAUGGGAAACAGGUCAAUAUUCCUGUACCUUCGUUCACUGCGAUGGGGGGACGGAGAAGGGUAGGCCAGCCGGGUGUUGGAAGUCCCGGUUUAAGCGUGUAGGUGUGCCCCUUAGGCAAAUCCGGGGGGCUGAGCCGAGGCGUGAUGACGAGGCACUACGGUGCCGAAGUGGUUGAUCCCAUGCUUCCAAGAAAAGCCCCUAAGCUUCAGGUGGAUGAAGACCGUACCGCAAACCGACACAGGUGGGCAGGGUGAGAAUCCUAAGGCGCUUGAGAGAACUCUGGAGAAGGAACUCGGCAAAUUGACACCGUAACUUCGGGAGAAGGUGUGCCCCUGGUAGGUGAAGGCCCUCGCGGCUGGAGCCCAGAGGGGUUGCAGUGAAAAGGUGGCUGCGACUGUUUAACAAAAACACAGCACUCUGCAAACACGAAAGUGGACGUAUAGGGUGUGACGCCUGCCCGGUGCCGGAAGGUUAAGUGAUGGGGUGCAAGCUCUUGAUCGAAGCCCCGGUAAACGGCGGCCGUAACUAUAACGGUCCUAAGGUAGCGAAAUUCCUUGUCGGGUAAGUUCCGACCCGCACGAAUGGCGUAACGAUGGCCACACUGUCUCCUCCAGAGACUCAGCGAAAUUGAAGUGUUUGUGAAGAUGCAAUCUCCCCGCGGCUAGACGGAAAGACCCCAUGAACCUUUACUGCAGCUUUGCAUUGGACUUUGACGGGACUUGUGUAGGAUAGGUGGGAGGCGAAGAAGGCAGGACGCCAGUUCUGCUGGAGCCGACGUUGAAAUACCACCCUGGUGUCGUUGAGGUUCUAACCUGGGCCCCUGAUCGGGGUCGGGGACCGUGCAUGGUAGGCAGUUUGACUGGGGCGGUCUCCUCCUAAAGCGUAACGGAGGAGCACGAAGGUUCGCUAGACACGGUCGGAAAUCGUGUUGAUAGUGCAAGGGCAAAAGCGAGCUUGACUGCGAGACGGACAUGUCGAGCAGGUGCGAAAGCAGGUCCUAGUGAUCCGGUGGUUCUGUAUGGAAGGGCCAUCGCUCAACGGAUAAAAGGUACUCUGGGGAUAACAGGCUGAUUCCGCCCAAGAGUUCA
rnacentral:rRNA from 1 species